AUACGGAGGGUGCAAGCGUUACUCGGAAUCACUGGGCGUAAAGCGCGCGCAGGCGGUCUUUUAAGUUGGAUGUGAAAGCCUACGGCUCAACCGUAGAACUGCAUCCAAAACUAUUAGACUAGAGUGUGGGAGAGGAAGAUGGAAUUAGUUGUGUAGGGGUAAAAUCCGUAGAGAUAACUAGGAAUACCAAAAGCGAAGGCAAUCUUCUGGAACACUACUGACGCUGAGGCGCGAAGGCGGGGGGAGCAAACAGGAUUAGAAACCCCGGUAGUCC
rnacentral:rRNA from 1 species